GCAAAAUCAAAGAGAGGGUCAAAGGUCACCACAGAGAGAGUGGCCCUGCUGGUUCUCUGUAUCCUGCUGGCAGCUGCUCUCAUCAUUAUUUAUCGUCUCUUUGAAAACAUGAGAACUAAAGAAACACUGAAAACACAGAACUACAAAAAUCCCUCCAGUGUAAACAAACCUCACUGACUGACUGGUUUGUUUGUUCCUUUUUAAUCAACGUUUGACAGAAUUAAAACUAACAAACAGCACGAAAACCUGAAACAUGACGAACUGAAGUGUGAAAGAAAUCUCACAGAGACUCUCUCUAAGAUAAAAUCAUGCAGCACGGUGCAGCCGAC
ensembl:lncRNA